GAUGAACGCUGGCGGCGUGCCUAAUACAUGCAAGUCGAGCGAACGGACGCGAAGCUUUCUUCUCUGAUGUUAGCGGCGGACGGGUGAGUAACACGUGGAUAACCUACCUAUAAGACUGUGAUAACUUCGGGAAACCGGAGCUACUACCGGAUAAUAUUUUGAACCUCAUGGUUCAAAAGUGAAAGAAGGUCUUGCUGUCACUUAUAGAUGGGUCCGCGCUGCAUUAGCUAGUUGGUAAGGUAACGGCUUACCAAGGCAACGAUGCAUAGCCGACCUGAGAGGGUGAUCGGCCACACUGGAGCUGAGACACGGUCCAGACUCCUACGGGAGGCAGCAGUAGGGAAUCUUCCGCAAUGGGCGGAAGCCUGACGGAGCAACGCCGCGUGGGUGAUGAAGGUCUUCGGAUCGUAAAACUCUGUUAUUAGGGAAGAACAUAUGUGUAAGUAACUGUGCACAGCUUGACGGUACCUAAUCAGAAAGCCACGGCUAACUACGUG
rnacentral:rRNA from 1 species